rnacentral:rRNA from 1 species
GCCAGACUCCUACGGGAGGCAGCAGUGAGGAAUAUUGGUCAAUGGGCGGAAGCCUGAACCAGCCAAGUCGCGUGAGGGAUUAAGGCCCUGCGGGUCGUAAACCUCUUUUGCCGGGGAGCAGAGGUCCGGACGUGUCCGGGCCGGGAGAGUACCCGGAGAAAAAGCAUCGGCUAACUCCGUGCCAGCAGCCGCGGUAAUACGGAGGAUGCGAGCGUUAUCCGGAUUUAUUGGGUUUAAAGGGUGCGUAGGUGGUUAAUUAAGUCAGCGGUGAAAGUUUGUGGCUCAACCAUAAAAUUGCCGUUGAAACUGGUUGACUUGAGUAUAUUUGAGGUAGGCGGAAUGCGUGGUGUAGCGGUGAAAUGCAUAGAUAUCACGCAGAACUCCGAUUGCGAAGGCAGCUUACUAAACUAUAACUGACACUGAAGCACGAAAGCGUGGGGAUCGAACAGGAUUAGAUACCCCGGUA